UACGAAGGGGGCUAGCGUUGCUCGGAAUCACUGGGCGUAAAGGGUGCGUAGGCGGGUCUUUAAGUCAGGGGUGAAAUCCUGGAGCUCAACUCCAGAACUGCCUUUGAUACUGAGGAUCUUGAGUUCGGGGAGAGGUGAGUGGAACUGCGAGUGUAGAGGUGAAAUUCGUAGAUAUUCGCAAGAACACCAGUGGCGAAGGCGGCUCACUGGCCCGAUACUGACGCUGAGGCACGAAAGCGUGGGGAGCA
rnacentral:rRNA from 1 species